rnacentral:rRNA from 1 species
CCUACGGGGGGCAGCAGUGAGGAAUAUUGGUCAAUGGACGAGAGUCUGAACCAGCCAAGUAGCGUGAAGGAUGACUGCCCUAUGGGUUGUAAACUUCUUUUAUAUGGGAAUAAAAUGUUCCACGUGUGGGAUUUUGUAUGUACCAUAUGAAUAAGGAUCGGCUAACUCCGUGCCAGCAGCCGCGGUAAUACGGAGGAUCCUAGCGUUAUCCGGAUUUAUUGGGUUUAAAGGGAGCGUAGGUGGAUUGUUAAGUCAGUUGUGAAAGUUUGCGGCUCAACCGUAAAAUUGCAGUUGAAACUGGCAGUCUUGAGUACAGUAGAGGUGGGCGGAAUUCGUGGUGUAGCGGUGAAAUGCUUAGAUAUCACGAAGAACUCCGAUUGCGAAGGCAGUUCACUGGACUGCAACCGACACUGAGGCUCGAAAGUGUGGGUAUCAAACAGGAUUAGAUACCCCUGUAGUC